AAAAAAGUGAGGGCUAGAGGUGGCGGCUGGCUUGACCGCAGUGGCUAAUCAAUCUGACUAGUGUCAUUCAACUAAAGAACUGUUUCAAUUGUUAUUUUCUUGGUCGGGGUUUUUCCUCCUGGGUUUUUCUUUAUUUUCCUUUCCCGGUUGUCUUCGGUUUGUUUCCUUCUUCCUUUCCAUUGCCUCCUGCACCCUGUUCCCGUUCUGAUGGAGAAAGGAGUUUUUUCUUUUUUUCCAUACGGAGUUUCCAGAACUGAAUUGUCUCGCCAUCAAAGGAGAUAUUUCCUAUUGGUGAAACUGGCGAGCCAUUCCGGUUUUACAAAUUAUCGCGUACUUCCUACAUGGCAACGAAGUGGUAGGACAAAGACUGCUUAUUUUGCAACCUUAGCAAAUGCGGCUGAUUUUCCUACGGAUAAUUCAGCCACACGGACACUGGACGGAGUCAAACUCUUGUCAUUGCCUGAGUAGCAAAUUUAGGAAGUUUCUCUUUGGAUGUAUUUUUUGGAAAUUCAAUGGUAUUAUUGUUUAAGUUAAAUUUUUGUUGUAUAUUUUUCCAUUUAUCUUUUUUCUGACAGGCUAAUAUAGCUGAACAUAAAGAACACUUAUUUUCCAUUUA